AUAAAAUUUCCUUAUAUAGUUUAAUGAAAUAUUUAAUAAAUCAAAAGACUUAUUUUUGUAAAUAUGUUUAUCUUGAGAUGUUUAAUUGCAAUUGAAUCUCCAAAUCGUUCUGGCGACGACACAUCAGCAUUUUCAACAAAAUACUUCUCUAUUAAUAUAUAGGGGAUAUCCUGAGGUUCAAGACUUCAAGAUGCGACUUGCUUACAAGAAUAAUUCUGAUGAUGAUGGAAGUGAUUAGAACUACUCAACUAUUUCUGCUUAUAGUAAAUUGUUUAUAAUAAAUUUGGUUAUAAUAAAUUGUUUACUGUUGAACCCCGAGGGGCUAAUGGUGGUUUGGUUUUAUUUUAUAAGGAUGAAAUAAUUCUUUCUGUUCUAUUUCAUAAUGACCGUAUAAUUGAUACAAAAGCUGUUUUUGGUCAUCAAUUGGUAUAUUUAUCUUUUGUUUAUGGUGAUCCGGUUCCUCAACAUCGCGGAAAAGUGUGGGAUAAAUUAACGGAUAUUGGAUCUUUUCGUAUUGAUCCUUGGUUUAUUAUUGGAGACUUUAAUAUGAAUUAGUUGGAAACCAUGAGAAGCAGGGUGGUGCCUUGCGGUCAGCUUCUUCCUUCAAACCUUUUAUCUCAAUGAUUAAGGAUUGUGGGAUGCUUGAAUUUCCAUGUUAUGUGGAUCAAUUAUCCUGGCGAGGGAAUCGGUGUAAUAAUCAAGUGAUUCGCUGCCGACUUUAUUGGGCUUUAGGUAAUGAAGAAUGGCAUGCCCUCUAUCCCAAUUUGAAAGUAGAGCAUUUGGAGAUGAUCGGUUCUGAUCAUAGUCCUAUUUUAGCAACUUGUUUGACGGCGGUCCGGAGGAGACAGAGACAAUUUCGGUUUGAUAAGCGGUGGUUGGGUAAUGAGGGCUUAGCUGGAGCGGUUGAGUCUGGAUGGAAUCGGACACGGAAUUUUAGGAUUCUGGGUUUUGUUGAUAAAAUAAGGAAUUGUAGGAAUUCGAUUUCCUGGUGGAGGAAAAAUAAUGUCAGUACUGGCCCAUCAGUUGUUUCUU